CCACCCAAGUGCCCAGCCUGUGCCUGCCGACGCAGAGCUCAGUGAGGUGCCAGCCUAGUCUGCUGCCAGGCUUUGCCAUCCUGCGGGGGCCAAAAAAAGGCUUGUUCCACCAGCCACGGGUGUUUGUUUGAAUUGACAAGCUAGAGUUGGAUGUUGUUGGGUGACUUGUGUGGCUGAAUUCAGGCUCAGGAUUCAGAGUGGGGUGUUCACAUACGAUGGCAGGCUUUUGGGCAUCGAGGAAUCACUCAAGGCUGUGUCUCAGGACAUGUGUAGCUAUUCUACUCCUCCUAGUCUUCUUUCAUAUAGCUCAAAGACAUAGCAACCAGGAGGAAAUAUAUAAGAGGGAUCUUCUAGCAUCGACAGAAAUCCCGGUGGAGUAUAUUGAUCCAACCUCCAUAGAUCUCACUCCCUUGGUCAAUACAUUAAUUAAUUCAACACAAUUGGGCUCCCGUCACCUCUUCUCUUUGUUGAGUGUGACCUCACACAGCUCCCUGGCUCUUCACAAGGUCACUCUACUGGUCUAUAACAGUAAACAACCACAUCAUUUAUGACUUCA